rnacentral:lncRNA from 11 species
AGCACAACCAAUUUCUGCUGCUAGGUAUAGCUCUUGGCUGUUAAUUUAAUUUGGUCAGGUAAGUAUAGAAGUGCAUCUACACUGUCAAAUUUGACUCCUUUUCAGCUGUCAUGGAUCAAUGCUAUGGACUGAUGGGUUUUAAAUAAUUGUAAUGGUGCUUAACUUUCCAUAAUACCAGCUAUCUUUUAUUGUCAGCAAUUUUCUUCAGGUUUUUUUUUCUACAAAGAAAAUGGGAGAAGGGCAAUAUGUGGUGACAAAUCUCAACUGUGUGAUGGCAAAACAAUGGAGGACUCCUGAGUAAAAUGGAUGGAUUGAAAAGUAUGUGACAAAGCUUUUAUCCUGUUAUUGCAGACACUCGAGGAUUUAAUUUUUAUAUUUAGAGGAACCUCAGACAACCCUUCUGUUGCUAAAAGGAAAGAAAAGAUAUUACAAUGGCAACAAAAGAAAUGGGCGCUGUGUUUCUUCUUGCACAUAAAGCUUUCCUUUUAUUUCUUUUGGACAAACCUAACAAUAUUUUUGGCAGAAGCAUUGUUGCCAUAUUGCUUUGACAGUCAAGUAUCCAGAAAGGGACUUAAGGCUGUCUAGCUGGAGGCAAUGUCCAAUAAACCCUAAUCUUUAUGUCUCUUUGUUUUUUCUAAAGGACAGCAUGAAUGAAUAUCUAUUAGCCAUGACUUGACAAUCAAUUCUACUUCAUGUUGGAUAUGGUUCAAAGUUUCUUUUGUAUAAAG